rnacentral:rRNA from 1 species
UACCUCAGUAACGGCGAGUGAAGCGGUAACAGCUCAAAUUUGAAAUCUGGCUCCUGCGGAGUCCGAGUUGUAAUUUGUAGAAGAUGCUUUGGGAGGUAGGGCCGGCCUAAGUUCCUUGGAACAGGACAUCAGAGAGGGUGAGAAUCCCGUAUGCGGCCGCGGCCUACGCCCGUGUAAAGCUCUUUCGACGAGUCGAGUUGUUUGGGAAUGCAGCUCAAAAUGGGUGGUAAAUUUCAUCUAAAGCUAAAUAUUGGCCAGAGACCGAUAGCGCACAAGUAGAGUGAUCGAAAGAUGAAAAGCACUUUGGAAAGAGAGUUAAACAGUACGUGAAAUUGUUGAAAGGGAAGCGCUUGCACCCAGACUUGGGCGUCGUCGAUCAUCCGAGGUUCUCCUCGGUGCACUCGACGAUGCACAGGCCAGCAUCGGUUUGGGUGGUUGGAGAAAGGCUCUAGGAACGUAGCUCUCUUCGGGGAGUGUUAUAGCCUAGGGCGUAAUGCAGCCCAUCCGGACCGAGGACCGCGCCUUCGGGCUAGGAUGCUGGCGUAAUGGUUGCAAGCGACCCGUCUUGAAACACGGACCAA